CUAACUCUGCAGCCCUGGCAGAGGAGCCCAGCCCUGUGUUCCCAGGUCCUCACACUCAGUGAAUAGCCAUCCACAGACCAUUCACCAUGGACUUGGGGAUGAGCUGGAUUUUCCUUGUCUUUAUUUUAAAAGGUGUCCAGUGUGAUGUGCAGCUUGUGGAGUCGGGAGGAGGCUUGGCGCAGCCUGGAAAGUCCCUGAAACUCUCCUGUGCAGCGUCUGGAUUCACCUUCAGUGACUAUGGCAUGCACUGGGUCCGCCAGGCUCCAGGGAAGGGGCUGGAGUGGGUCGCGUACAUUAGUUAUAAUAGUGGUACAAUCUACUAUGCCGAGGCCGUGAAGGGCCGGUUCACCAUCUCCAGAGACAAUGCCAAGAACACGCUGUACCUGCAAAUGAACAGUCUGAGGUCUGAGGACACGGCCACAUAUUACUGUGCAAGACACAUUACCCGGGCCCAUGCAGCUCUUGAAGAAAAAGCGAUUAGUGUUGCUCUCAGGCUUGGUCAGAGUGGGCUCUCCAUAAAGUAUGUGAAAUUCAAAGCAGAGACCCAUAACUACCAUAAUACUGAGUAA